AUUUUGUUUUGGGAAGUGGCCCGAUUGGACUUGGAGCUACAGGUGAAAUAGCGAUCAUCUACAUGGAGGAAUUUCAAAUCCAGGCAAUAAAAUCUUCACCAUAUCCUUUGGGCCAAUGGUACUGGUAUGUAUAGAUGACAGUGAAAUAAAAUGCCGCAGUGAUGACUCGGAAAAGAUUCUGCAACAUUUGAAUGCUAUGGAAGAGAACAUAAUCGUAUUUACAAAGCAAGAACAAAAGGAAGAAAGCUCACCGGUGCUGGAUUUGAAACAGAAUGUAAACAGAGAAACGGGAGAGAUAGAGUGUACAGUACACUACAAGAAAACGCACACCAACAUAAACGUGAAAGAGAAAUCGAACCAUCCACACUACAUGAAGAAAGGCAUCAUCAGAAAGAGCUCGAGCAUUAUGUGAUGAAAAACAUUUGGAUGAUGAACUUCAAAAUAUCGAGGAUGUGUUUGUACAGUAGCAAAUGGAUAUGAUAGAACCAAGGUGAGACGGUACAUGCACGAAAAGAAAAAGAGUGAAAGGGAGGAAGUGAAAGAAUAUAGAGGAGUAGUCAGCAUUCCAUAUCUGAAAGGGUUGUCAGAAAAGUUUAAGAGCAUAACAGAGAAUCAUGGAAUUCGAACAACAUUUAGACCAGGAAGAAAGUUAAAAGAGUUGAAAGUACGAGUUCAACAUCCAUUAGGAAACAAACAAAAGGCGGUUGUCUAUAAGAUACCAUGCGGUUGUGAAAGAGCAGUGUUACAUAGGAGAGACAUAUCGACAAUUUGAAACAAGGAAGAAAGAACAUGAGAGCAAAGUACGAUUAACAAAACAGGACAUAAAGAAUGGAGAGUUAGAAUCAGCAGAACAAAGGAUGGGGAAGGAAGACGGUGGCUUGGCAAGACACAGUGUUAAGUGUAAAGGAGAGAUUGAGUGGGAAAAAGCUGAAAUUAUUGCGAUGGAGAAGGGAUUGAGGCAAAGAAAAGCAAGGGAAGGAAUUGAGUCAUUGAGAGAACAACAAAGUGGCAGAGAGACGUUGAACAAUUUUGAACAAUUAACAGAGAGGCAAACUGUUUUAAACAGUUAUUUCAAACAAGAUAUUACUAAGAUGUGCACGACAUCACGCGCGCGCAAAGAUCACAUAGGUUAAGGAGACAGUUUGUGCACGUCAUUGUUUAAAAUUAAAAGUUGUAGUUGGCCUGAUGACGAGCAGUCAAACUGCUCGAAACGUAGCAAAUUAAAUAAAAUAUUAACCUUCAGAAUCGG